UCUCCUGGAAAACGGGUGGUAAUGCCGGAUGCUCCAUCACACUGCAUGGUGUGUUGGGAAAGCCUUUGCGGCAUGGGAUGGGGUCGCGUCCUAUCAGCUUGAUGGCGGGGUAACGGCCCACCAUGGCUUCGACGGGUAGCCGGCCUGAGAGGGCGACCGGCCACAUUGGGACUGAGAUACGGCCCAGACUCCUACGGGAGGCAGCAGUGGGGAAUAUUGCACAAUGGGCGCAAGCCUGAUGCAGCGACGCCGCGUGAGGGAUGGAGGCCUUCGGGUUGUAAACCUCUUUUGUUAGGGAGCAAGGCAUUUUGUGUUGAGUGUACCUUUCGAAUAAGCACCGGCUAACUACGUGCCAGCAGCCGCGGUAAUACGUAGGGUGCAAGCGUUAUCCGGAAUUAUUGGGCGUAAAGGGCUCGUAGGCGGUUCGUCGCGUCCGGUGUGAAAGUCCAUCGCUUAACGGUGGAUCCGCGCCGGGUACGGGCGGGCUUGAGUGCGGUAGGGGAGACUGGAAUUCCCGGUGUAACGGUGGAAUGUGUAGAUAU
rnacentral:rRNA from 1 species